AACGAACGCUGGCGGCAUGCCUAACACAUGCAAGUCGAACGAGACCUUCGGGUAUAGUGGCGAACGGGUGCGUAACGCGUGGGAACCUGCCCUUAGGUUCGGAAUACCUCCCCGAAAGGGGUGCUAAUACCGGAUAAUGUCUUCGGACCAAUGAUUUAUUGCCUUUGGAUGGGCCCGCGUUGGAUUAGCUAGUUGGUAGGGUAAAAGCCUACCAAGGCGACGAUCCAUAGCUGGUCUGAGAGGAUGAUCAGCCACACUGGGACUGAGACACGGCCCAGACUCCUACGGGAGGAAGAAGUGGGGAAUAUGGGACAAUGGGCGAAAGCCUGAGCCAGCAAGGCCGUGUGAGUGAUGAAGGCCUUAGGGUUGUAAAGCUCUUUUAACCGGGAUGAUAGUGACAGUACCGGGAGAAUAAGCGCCGGCUAACUCCGUG
rnacentral:rRNA from 1 species